rnacentral:rRNA from 1 species
ACUCCUACGGGAGGCAGCAGUGGGGAAUCUUGGACAAUGGGGGCAACCCGUGCAUCCAGCCAUGCCGCGUGAGUGAUGAAGGCCUUAGGGUCGUAAAGCUCUUUCGCCUGUGAAGAUAAUGACGGUAGCAGGUAAAGAAACCCGCGUACAUCCGUGCCAGCAGCCGCGGUAAUACGGAGGGGGUUAGCGUUGUUCGGAAUUACUGGGCGUAAAGCGCACGUAGGCGGAUCGGAAAGUUGGGGGUGAAAUCCCGGGGCUCAACCCC